rnacentral:lncRNA from 1 species
UUUUUGACGCAGCCUUCGGAUAUCUCGUCUCUCUCUUCUCCAUUGACGCAUCCUUCGAUCUGUGCUUGAGCUCUCUCCAUCUCUCUCGAUCUCGACCCCUCUCUCCAUCUCUCUCGAUCUCGACAAAAACCCAUCUCUUCUCACUCUCGAAUCUCUUCAUCGACCUCUCUGGUCUCAGCCUCUCUCCAUCUCUCUCCUCUCAGCUCUCCCUCUCGACGACCCUCUCAAGCUCGACCUCUCAGGCUCUCCCUCUCUGGACAACCCUCUAAAGCUCAUACCCUCUCCGAACUACUGGCUCUCGAGGAUUUGUGUUACCUUCAAGGAGUGUUGUUACUCUCAUAACUCUGAAGGGUAAGCUCAUUUCGGAUCUCAUGUUUCUGCUAUGUCCAUGUUUUUGUUGUUGAGACUAAUUUGGGGAACAAUCUUUGCUUCAGGUGCGUGAGAUGUUUGCAGCAAGUGGAUAUUGAGUACAAGUCAUUGAAGGCAAAGCUUCAGGAUUUGUUCAAUGUAAGUGACAAAAGGAUUAUUAGAAACUGUGAAAGAAACAUAGUUUUUUUCUUUUGAAUUCAUUCAUGAAUGAUUCUUGUAUUGUUUGUUGCAGCUUGAGCAGCAGAUUGUCCAAGUUACAGAAGCUCUUUGUUUCCAGAUAGUGAAGGUGUUGGAUUUCGUUGCAAAGAAAGAAAGUCUGCAACUGCCCCACGGUUUUACAGCAUUACAAGUACUUCUAGGUAACAUCCGAGAAGCAUUACAAGUUAUCUGUCUCUGUGUUCCAUGAUCUAUGAUUCUGUUUAUUUGUUUCUUGAUUUCGUGAUGCUGGUUCCUGUGAUGCCUAGCUGUUGACUGUUGCUAUUGCAAAUGUAUGUCAUUUCUCUGAUAGCUCACACUACCUUUUGUGUUCUGAUAUAUAUUCUAAAACAUUGAUGCUAGUGAUGGUCUGAUAACUCAAUUGAUUACUUGUGUCUGAUAACUCAAAUGAUUACUUUCGUAAGCUUCCUUUCUUCUGUUGAUGGAUUUAUGAUGAUUACUGCCGUUGAACUUGUACUGUCUGAUAAGCUUUCUUUCCAAGUGGUUUUAAGUCACAAAACGUGUACUGUCAUUUGCCAGCUCUAAAGGUCUGUUGAUUGUGAAGUUGUAAGGUCUUCAUGUUCUCAUAGCAUAGAUGAUAACUUCAUGUUCUCAUUGCUUCUUCUUUCUGCUUUUUUUUUGCAGGUCUCAGGCUCGCAAGCUCAAACCCUCUCCAAGCUCACUCUCUCGAUGGCAAUAGAUGUAAGCUCAGAUCCUUCUUCUUUGCAUUUGUGUAUAGAAAUGUCUUUAGGUUGUAUGGAACUUGAGUUUGUGUAUAGAAAUGUCUUUAGAUUGAAUGGAACUUGAGUUUAUGUGUAUAGAACUGUGUUUAGGUUGUAUGGAACUUGAGUUUAUGAGUUUAUAAAUGGAACUUGCUGUAUGUGUUUUGCUUUAGACUUGGAAACCUGAGGAAACUAGAUAUUUUUUCGAACUCUAUGCAGAAGAGAGAAGAAAAGGAAAUAAGGCUGGUAUAUCAAUGAAUAAAGUGGGGAAAGCAAACAUUAUGGAGGCGUUUGAACAACGGUUUAAGAAGAAUUUACCUGAUUGGAAGCCCUACAAGAGCAAGUACGACACCAGUAGGAAGAAAUACAUCAAGAUUAAGACGCUGACUCAAAACGGGACAGGGCUUGGGUUUGAUGACAUGGGAAGGAUUGACAUGUCAGAUGAUUGGUGGAGUGAACGCGAAAGGGUCAGUUUCACAUUAUUCUCUCUUCAGUUUCACAUUUUACUAUAUAGCAUAAUGAUAAUAAGCAGCUUAUAUUACAUUUUUUUCUCUGUUAAUGGCAUUGCUAUCACUAACUUACUCUUUGUUUUUUGCUGUAUAGGAGUGUCCUGGGAUUAGAAGAUCCGUAUGCAAAGAGAUUAGUAACAUGGAUAUGUUUGAAGCGGAAUUUGGUGGUGUAGUAGUAACUGGAGCUGAAGGAUGGAGCGCUCAACAUGGAGAAGCCAGUUUGAACUCUAGAGUGGGUGAAGAUGAUGGUGAUGAUGAAGCUGAUUCUCAGUCAGCAGCAGAAACUCAAGCAUUGGAGACAGAAACACAGCCACAAGCCCCACGCCAAACUCAGCCAUCGACUCAGACUCAUUCUGGAAGUUCAAGAGCAAAAAGAAGGCGUAAGGAGAAAGACAUGGUUGUAGAAGCUUGUGUGAAACGGACUGAAAGUAUUUUGAAUAACAAUCUGAACAUACAUUAACAAAAAUAAGUAAAUAAUCAUUUGAUUCAGUUGUGUUUUUGUAUCUGUUAGGUACUUACAUGAUAUCUAUAUCUAUAUUGAAUAUUCGUAGGUAAGUACUAAAACCAUAGUGCUGUUUGUUUGGUUGCCGCAGGUACCUGCGUCGGCGUCGGCAUCAAUUUUUUAAAAUAAUCUUGUUCGUUUCGUUGACACGCCGGUACUGCGUCUGCGUUCUCGCAUCAGACGCCAAAAAAAUCUGCGUCGUGCGAUAAAAAGUCAGCGUCUGAGGUUUGUUUUACACAUAUACCCUUAAUGUUUUUCAUUAUUUACGUAACCCUAAUUCAAUUUAAACGCGGCUUUACCUUUUUGACGCAGCCUUCGGAUAUCUCGUCUCAGCCUCUUCUCCAUUGAGGCAUCCUUCGAUCUGUGCUUGAGCUCUCUCCAUCUCUCUCGAUCUCGACGAAAACCCAUCUCUUCUCACUCUUGAAUCUCUUCAUCGACCUCUCUGGUCUCAGCCUCUCUCCAUCUCUCUCGUCUCAGCUCUCCCUCUCUACGACCCUCUCAAGCUCGACCUCUCAGGCUCUCCCUCUUUGGACAACGCUCUGAAGCUCAGACCCUCUCAGAACUACUGGCUCUCGAGGAUUUGUGUUACCUUCAAGGAGUGUUGUUACUCUCAUAACUCUGAAGGGUAAGCUCAUUUCGGAUCUCAUGUUUCUGCUAUGUCCAUGUUUUUGUUGUUGAGACUAAUUUGGGGAACAAUCUUUGCUUCAGGUGCGUGAGAUGUUUGCAGCAAGUGGAUAUUGAGUACAAGUCAUUGAAGGCAAAGCUUCAGGAUUUGUUCAAUGUAAGUGACAAAAGGAUUAUUAGAAACUGUGAAAGAAACAUAGUUUUUUUCUUUUGAAUUCAUUCAUGAAUGAUUCUUGUAUUGUUUGUUGCAGCUUGAGCAGCAGAUUGUCCAAGUUACAGAAGCUCUUUGUUUCCAGAUAGUGAAGGUGUUGGAUUUCGUUGCAAAGAAAGAAAGUCUGCAACUGCCCCACGGUUUUACAGCAUUACAAGUACUUCUAGGUAACAUCCGAGAAGCAUUACAAGUUAUCUGUCUCUGUGUUCCAUGAUCUAUGAUUCUGUUUAUUUGUUUCUUGAUUUCGUGAUGCUGGUUCCUGUGAUGCCUAGCUGUUGACUGUUGCUAUUGCAAAUGUAUGUCAUUUCUCUGAUAGCUCACACUACCUUUUGUGUUCUGAUAUAUAUUCUAAAACAUUGAUGCUAGUGAUGGUCUGAUAACUCAAUUGAUUACUUGUGUCAGUUGUACCAAUGUGGCAAGUGAGGAAUUGGUGAACAAACUGGGCCUUGAGGUGUAUAAGCAUCCUAAGCCUUACGUGUUACAAUGGCUCAACAAAGAGGGAGAGAUGAAGGCCAGUAGACAAGUGAAAGUCUUACUGACAGUGAGAAGAUAUCAGGAUUAGAUCACCUGUGAUAUAUUUCCUCUAGAAGCUAGUCAUAUUCUGCUCGGGCGUCCAUGGCAGUAUGACAAGAGGGCAGUACAUGAUGGCUUCACCAACAAACACACUUUCACCCACAAGGAGAAGCAUACCACAUUGGUUCCUUUGACGCCUCAGGAAGUACAUCAGGAUCAGAUGCAUCUCAAAAGGAAAAGGGAAGAAGCUAGUGCGUUAGCUAAGACCUUGUCGCUGGACGAGGUCAAUAAGGUAAGUAAACUGAACGUCUUUGCUACUACCAAAGAUAUCAAGACUGCUAUGCUUGAACAACAAAAUCUGAUAUUGAUAGUAUAAAAAGAGUUGCUGAUUUCCUCCACUAACAAUGACCCAUUCAUUCCAGCAGAGAUUGAGUUUCUUUUGCAGGAAUACAUGGAUGUUUUUCCAGGAGAUAACCCAGUUGGCUUACCUCCCAUCAGAGGGAUUGAACACCAAAUUGAUUUUGUACCAGGAGCAACACUCCCAAAUCGUCCAACAUACAUGACAAACCCUGUUGAGACGAAGUAGCUCCAGAAACAAGUUAAUGAUCUCUUAGAGAAGGGCCACAUCAGAGAGAGCAUGAGUCCUUUGUGAUGUACCUGUUCUGCUGGUGCCCAAGAAGGAUGGAAGCUAGCGCAUGUGUGUGGAUUCCAGAGCCAUCAACAAUAUCACAGUUAAGUACAUACAUCCUAUCCCUCGCUUAGAUGAUAUGUUAGAUGAGUUGCAUGUUUCAUGUGUCUUCUCUAAAAUUGAUUUAAAGAGUGGUUACCAUAGAAUGAAAGAAGGAAAUGAGUGGAAAACUGCCUUUAAAAGUAAGCUAGGACUGUAUGAAUGGCUUGUCAUGCCUUUUGGUCUUACUAAUGCACCUAGUACAUUCAUGAGGUUGAUGAACCAUGUCUUGAGAGCACUGAUAGGACGAUUUGUGGUAGUAUAUUUUGAUGACAUAUUGAUUUAUAGCAAGACCAUGAAAGAACAUGUUGAACACUUGAGACAAGUCCUAGACGUGCUUAGGAAGGAGAACUUCUAUGCUAAUUACAAGAAAUGCACUUUUGGAGCACAUAACCUUAUUUUCCUAGGUUUUGUUGUGACAUCACAUAGUAUACAGGUUGAUGAAGAAAAGGUUAAGGCCAUAAAGGAGUGGCCGACCCCCAAAAGCAUUGGUGAAGUCAGGAGUUUUCAUGGACUUGCUGGCUUCUACAAGAGGUUUGUGAGAGCCUUCAGUAUCAUUGCUGCCCCACUCACUGAAGUCAUUAAGAAGAAUGUAGGGUUCACGUGGGGACAAGCUCAAGAAGAUGCAUUCCAGCUGCUUAAAGGAAGGUUAACAAGUGCUCCUUUACUUGUGAUUCCUGACUUUCUUAAAACUUUUGAAAUUGAAUGUGAUGCAUCUGGAAUUGGAAUUGGAGCUGUGAUGAUGCAAGAUAAGAGACCUAUAGCUUAUUUCAGUAAGAAGCUUGGAGGCGCCACCCUGAACUAUCCAACCUAUGACAAGGAGCUUUAUGCCCUUGUGAGAGCUCUCCAGGUGUGGCAACAUUACCUUUGGCCUAAAGAGUUUGUGAUCCAUACAGAUCAUGAAUCUCUAAAGCAUAUCAAAGGGCAACAUAAGCUGAACAAGAGGCAUGCUAGGUGGGCUGAGUUCAUUGAGACAUUCCCUUAUGUCAUCCACUACAAGCAUGGUAAGGAGAAUGUUGUGGCUGAUGCAUUUUCAAGGAGGUAUGUUCUCUUAUCUUCAAUGGAAACAAAGAUUUUGGGAUUUGAACACCUUAAGUCAUGCUAUACUGAUGAUCUAGAGUUUCAGAAAGCGUUUAGACAAACUGAAAAACAUGCUAGUAGCAAAUUUUAUCAAGUAAAAGGAUUUGUUUUCUAUGAUAACCGCUUGUGUGUACCUUGUGGUUCUUUGAGGGAACUAUAUGUCAGGGAAGCUUAUGGAGGAGGACUGAUGGGGCACUUUGGGGUCGCUAAGACAUUGUCUAUUUUGCAAGAACACUUCUACUGGCCUAACAUGAAGAAGGAAGUGGAGAAAGUGUGUUCAAGGUGUGUCGUGUGUAAAUAAGCCAAAUCCAAAGUCCAACCAACAGGUUUGUACACGCCCCUCACUAUUCCUACUGAACCAUGGGUUGACAUCUCUAUGGACUUUGUUUUAGGACUGCCUAGGACUAGGAAAGGUAGAGAUAGUAUCUUUGUGGUGGUUGAUAGGUUUUCUAAGAUGACACAUUUCAUACCUUGCCAUAAGACUGAUGAUGCAUCCCUGGUAGCUGAUCUUUUCUUUAGAGAGGUUGUAAGAUUGCAUGGCAUGCCUAGGACUAUAGUUUCUGAUAGAGACUCUAAGUUCCUUAGCUACUUCUGGAAACUUUGUGGGGAAAACUAGGAACUAGGUUGUUGUUAUCAACUACUUGUCACCCACAAAAUGAUGGACAAACUGAGACUGUCAAUAGGACUCUAUCCUCCCUUCUGCGUGCUAUCAUUAAAAAGAACAUCAGGACUUGGGAAGAUUGUUUACCACAUGUAGAAUUUGCAUACAAUAGGUCAAUGCAUUCAGUUACUAAGCUUACACCUUUCCAGGUUGUCUAUGGACUUAAUCCUUUGUCUCCUUAAGACUUGUUCGCUUUGCCUUUAAAAGAACAAACUAACGUUGAUGGCAAGCAGAAGGCCGAGUUUAUUCGUUCCUUGCAUGAAUAGGUCAGAGAGAACAUAGAAGAGCGCACCAAGAUGUAUGUAAGGAAGAAGAACAAAAGCAGGAAGGAGUCAGUGCUGGAACCAGGUGACCUCGUGUAGAUUCACCUGAGAAAGGAUAGGUUUCCUACUGAGAGGAAAUCGAAGCUGAUGCCAAGGACAGAUGGUCCUUUCAAAGUGUUGAAAAGGAUUAACAAUAAUGCCUACCAGAUUGAUCUUGAAGGUAAGUAUACUAUAAGUUCAACUUUCAAUGUUUCUGACUUGAUCCCUUUUAUUGCAGAUGAAUCGGAUUUAAGGUCAAAUCAUUUUAAAGGAGUAGGGGAUGGUGCGACCAAGAGUGGAGACAUUGGGGAGCUGAGUGAGUCUAACGAGAGAGAGCUAAUGGAACCUGACCAAGGGGAUAAAAGAGCUGCCGAGUGGGAUAACUUAGGAGAAGAGCUUGAAGCUGUUGAUCCCGAACUGAACCUGAGCAAAGGAGGACAUGGAGAACAAACUGAGCUGGAGCUGGAUCAGGACCCGGCAAGUUGCUGGACUGGACCUAUCACAAGAUCAAGACUCAAAGCACAAAGAGAAGCUCUCCAACACUUUAUCAAAUCCGUGGGAACUAAACUAGAAGGAGAGAUUCAAGACAAACCAGCAUGUUGGUUUAAUCUAUUUAUGUGUAAUUGAUUUCACUUAAAACAAACCAAAGACAAUUAGGAUUAAGAAACCAAUUUCGGGUAGGAAUAGGAUUAGAUAAACCAAUUUCGAUUGGGAAUAGGAUUAGAAAUUAGAUUAAACCAUCUCAGUUUAUGAUUAGGGUAGCGUAAUGUUUCUUAUUUAACUUUCACGCCGCUGAUGUAUUGAUUCAACAAUCAAUCUAAUAAUUUUCAGCAAACUGCUUGUCUCGUUAUAUGGUUUCUCUGUUCAGCUAAAGGAACAUUGAUCUCACCUUAGGGAAGGAAUUCCUUAGUGAAUUCAUCACAACAAUACAGGGUAAACCUGUGUCGUGAGUAGCAAACCAUCUCUGAGGCGCAUCCAUAGCUUCAGAGAGUCGAACAUCGUCUGACAGAGUGCUAAUAGCCUCCAAAGACAACCCACGUCCAUCUCCAUCAAGUGAUCCAGGAAGAGAAGUCUAUCCAAGGUCGUACCAGAUCCUAAACCUCUAAAACCAAAAACCCGAAGAACUAAAGCGGAAUCGAAAUCAAGAACUGAAUGCCCACGAAAUGUAAGUUUAUUAGUCUUCUACUGAAUAAUUUCAUUAGAUUUUGCAUUUGAAAAUGUAAUUUUGCAGUAUUUUGAAUAACAAUCUGAACAUACAUUAACAAAAAUAAGUAAAUAAUCAUUUGAUUCAGUUGUGUUUUUGUAUCUGUUAGGUACUUACAUGAUAUCUAUAUCUAUAUUGAAUAUUCGUAGGUAAGUACUAAAACCAUAGUGCUGUUUGUUUGGUUGCCGCAGGUACCUGCGUCGGCGUCGGCAUCAAUUUUUUAAAAUAAUCUUGUUCGUUUCGUUGACACGCCGGUACUGCGUCUGCGUUCUCGCAUCAGACGCCAAAAAAAUCUGCGUCGUGCGAUAAAAAGUCAGCGUCUGAGGUUUGUUUUACACAUAUACCCUUAAUGUUUUUCAUUAUUUACAUAACCCUAAUUCGAUUUAGACGCAGCUUUACCUUUUUGACGCAGCCUUCGGAUAUCUCGUCUCUCUCUUCUCCAUUGACGCAUCCUUCGAUCUGUGCUUGAGCUCUCUCCAUCUCUCUCGAUCUCGACCCCUCUCUCCAUCUCUCUCGAUCUCGACAAAAACCCAUCUCUUCUCACUCUCGAAUCUCUUCAUCGACCUCUCUGGUCUCAGCCUCUCUCCAUCUCUCUCCUCUCAGCUCUCCCUCUCGACGACCCUCUCAAGCUCGACCUCUCAGGCUCUCCCUCUCUGGACAACCCUCUAAAGCUCAUACCCUCUCCGAACUACUGGCUCUCGAGGAUUUGUGUUACCUUCAAGGAGUGUUGUUACUCUCAUAACUCUG